GGGUUGUUAGAUUAGUGGCAAAUCACCCCCUCCAAAAGCAUAUCUGUUUUCAGAUUGUUCUCGAAGGGGAAAGAGAGGUUCAAUUCCUCUACAACCCA
rnacentral:tRNA from 1 species